rnacentral:lncRNA from 1 species
AAUGCCACCAGGAUGAAAGGCUGCAAGCAAGCCCUGGGUGUCCUGUGGCAGAGGCAGCAGACGGGGUUCCGGACCCUUUCCCCUUUGGAUGAGAAGCACAAGACCUUGGCAAACCAGGCUCCAUCAUCCCCCUCUCCAGCCAGCAAGGGAGACUUUGUUCCUUCAGGAGAAGGAGAGGCAGAGGCUGGAGAACCUCCGUAAGAAGCAGGAGGCUGAGGAACAGAGGAAGAAGAAAGUGGAGGAGGAGAAGAGACAGCGUCAGGCAGAAAUGAAGCAGUGAGUUGGGCCCCUUUCCCCCUCCUCUUUCCUUGGUCAGGAAAGGCUUGCCUUGUGCUUCCCACUUGGAAUGAGCACUUUGGGAGCAGGCGGGGCUGACGGGCCCCUCUUGCCCACGCGGUGCCCAGAAAGAGGGAAGAGCGCCUGAGGAAGGCCCUGCAGGCUCGAGAGCGUGCGGAACAGAUGGAGGAAAAGAAGAAAAAGCGGAUGGAGCAGAAGAUUCUGCAAAGUGAUGAGAAGUUGCACAUCUCACAGGUGAAGGAAGAGAAGGUGGCAGAGGAGCGGAGCAAGAGGAAAGGGUCCAAGAAACACGGGGAGGUGGAGGCACGGAAGCAGAAAGCCGUGAAAGGGGAGGAACAUGAGCAGCAAGAACCACUGCAGAAAAGAAGAGAGGAUGAAGUGAAGGAAAGAGGGAAAACAGUUUUGGAACUGAAGAACCUUCUGGAGCAGAAACAGCUGGGACAAGCAAAGGAGAGGUGUGAGCUGAUGCCUGUCCUGGAGCAGGGAAUUGACCACAGCUGGGGAAGCAGUAGAUGUGAUGUAAAUGUGAUGCUGCACCUGGGAUCUGGGGAGGCAGGAGCAGGAGGCUGUGAGAGGGUGAGGGACAGAUAGGCCUGCUUCCCCCUCUGAAUUCUUUCUUUUCCCCC